rnacentral:rRNA from 1 species
UACGUAGGGCGCAAGCGUUGACCGGAAUUAUUGGGCGUAAAGCGUUCGUAGGCGGCUUUUCACGUCGAUUGUGAAAGCCCGAGGCUUAACCUCGGGUCUGCAGUCGAUACGGGCUAGCUAGAGUGUGGUAGGGGAGAUCGGAAUUCCUGGUGUAGCGGUGAAAUGCGCAGAUAUCUGGAGGAACACCGGUGGCGAAGGCGGCUCUCUGGGCCGUUACUGACGCUGAGGAGCGAAAGCGUGGGGAGCAAACAGG